GGAGUUAGCCGGUGCUUCUUCUGCGAGUAACGUCACAGAUGUAAGGUAUUAACUUACACCCUUUCCUCCUCGCUGAAAGUGCUUUACAACCCGAAGGCCUUCUUCACACACGCGUCAUGGCUGCAUCAGGGUUUCCCCCAUUGUGCAAUAUUCCCCACUGCUGCCUCCCGUAGGAGUCUGGGCCGUGUCUCAGUCCCAGUGUGGCUGAUCAUCCUCUCAGACCAGCUAGGGAUCGUCGCCUAGGUGAGCCUUUACCUCACCUACUAGCUAAUCCCACCUGGGCUUAUCCAUCAGCGCAAGGCCCGAAGGUCCCCUGCUUUCCCCCGUAGGGCGUAUGCGGUAUUAGCAGUCGUUUCCAACUGUUAUCCCCCACAAAUGGGCAAAUUCCCAGGCAUUACUCACCCGUCCGCCGCUCGUCAUCUUCAAAGCAAGCUUUUGAAUGUUACCGCUCGACUUGCAUGUGUUAGGCCUGCCGCCAGCGUUCAAUCUGAGCCAUAAUCAAACUCUGA
rnacentral:rRNA from 1 species